UCAUCGCUCCUCCUAAAACCAUUCUGGAGGACCCAACAGCCACCCUCUUCCAGGCUGACCUGUUCCCUGCUGCCCUGGUCUACUUUGGCUCUGACGUCAAGACAGAGAGUUACUUAGAGAGACAUCUCCUGGAUUCCAGUGUCUCGGCCCUACAAGCAGACGAGGCCAUUGCUGGCUGUAUGCCCAGGUCUUCGCCCCCCUCCUCCUUCUCUUCCAUGGUAACAGAGGAGCCCCUUCCAGAUACCCCCGCGGGGACCAGGGAGAUUGAGGAGGAGGAGGAGGAGCCGAACACACACAGCCAGGCCACCAAACCAGUCAGGACGGACACCGGCAAGGUCCCCAAGUGGCUCAAACUGCCAGGUAAGAAAUGAGGAUUGUGAUCAGAUGACUACGGCUACCAUAGAGGGACAUACAGAGCGGACGCCCCAACACACUGUUCCCCCUACCUUUUUAUUAACAUGAAAUUCCAGGCUCAAAGUGGAUUGUGAUGUAUUCAAACCCAUUGUGAAUCCAGUGUGCACUUCAAAUAGUUUUACAAGAGUUCAAAAACAUGAAACGAAUGAAUAAAGGAAUCUACAAUA